rnacentral:rRNA from 1 species
UUCCUACGGGAGGCAGCAGUGGGGGAUAUUGCACAAUGGGGGGAACCCUGAUGCAGCGACGCCGCGUGGGUGAAGAAGCGCCUCGGCGCGUAAAGCCCUGUCAGCAGGGAAGAAAAUGACGGUACCUGACUAAGAAGCCCCGGCUAACUACGUGCCAGCAGCCGCGGUAAUACGUAGGGGGCAAGCGUUAUCCGGAAUUACUGGGUGUAAAGGGAGCGCAGACGGCAGUGCAAGUCUGGAGUGAAAGCCCGUGGCUUA